rnacentral:rRNA from 1 species
GACGUAGGGCGCGAGCGUUGUCCGGAAUUAUUGGGCGUAAAGAGCUCGUAGGCGGUCUGUUACGUCUGCUGUGAAAACCCGGGGCUUAACCCUGGGCUUGCAGUGGAUACGGGCAGACUAGAGUGCGGUAGGGGUGACUGGAAUUCCUGGUGUAGCGGUGGAAUGCGCAGAUAUCAGAAGGAACACCGGUGGCGAAGGCGGGUCUCUGGGCCGAAAUUGACGCUGAGGAGCGAAAGCGUGGGGAGCAAACAGG